UAUCCCGAUGCACAGCAAACGUAAAAAUAGUGAAUACGAAGGUGAAUAGACUUGGUUUGAAUAUUGCUGGUAUAUUUAUGAUCAAGUAUUAUUAUACCAAGCUAAUGUAAUGAUAUAUUACAAUGGAACGAGGCAAAUAGUUACCAUUCAACAAUUAUGGUAUUUAUUUUUUCACCUUUCGACCUUUAUUAUUAAUUGAAUUCUAGUCUUUAUUACUAUCAGAAAAUAUAGAAAAUUGAUAUUAUUUUUAUCUCGAAGUGUUAUUCUCGAGAAUCGUGGAAAUGACGAAAUUUCGUUAUUAUGAAAUUCUGUAUAUACGAACCUCACAUAAAUAACUAUAUAGAUACUUGCUGGGUGCAUUUUAUCUACAGCUGCCAAACAUUACAGAAGAUUGCGUCGCCUUCUUUUCCAAGAAUCUAUAAUUUCUUCAAAGACCAUUUUCCCAGAACGUAUGUGCAUUAUAAUAGGUUAUAUGAUUCUCACAAUCAGUACAAGAGGUAUGAAAAGAGAAGUUAUCUAUUCUCGAACAUUUUAUUAUAGAAGCUUUGUUUGCAAUUUUCAUCUUUUCAUUUAAGAAAGUGGUAUUUUGUAAUUUUUCUUUAUUUUAGUGAUAUAUAUAUCAAACAUAGCUACUAUAAUCCUUUACAACUUUUCAAGAAGAAAGAAGUAGUGUUGUAACGACCGACUCAAUCAAAAGCCACGAAGCGAGAGGUCCAGAAGCAGACGAGACGAUUCAACGAGUAAACGAUUCAAAGACCCCAAUGAUUAAAGGGAUACAAACGAUAUCAAUUAAUUGCUUGGCUUCUAAAUACACUGUUAGAUCAAGCGUAUCAUCGAUUCUGUUUCUACAGAGCAGGUGUUAACAUUUAUUACAACUUAAGAUAUCCUCGGUGUUACGUUGUAUAAUUUAACACAGAUUUUCGUAAAAUACGAUGUUUGUAAUCAAUAUUGACGUGAUCGGUCGAUACUUGGAAAUUUCAACUUUUUUAAACAUUGUAAGCGUUUAUGCUCUAUCAAUCUUGAGCCGAACGUUAUGUAAAGGUGAUUCAGAUCGAUUAAAGAAAUCAAUUACAAACGACUAGUUGCAAACACAGGAUCGACUAAUUAAUGCCAUAUCCGUUGUUACGCAAUGAUCAUUUGAAGCCAUUGUGUCCUUUUAAACAGCGAGAUGAAUAAAUAUAAAAUAAGCUGUACUCCAAUAUUCGCUUAUAAUACUAUAUCUUUAACACGAUAGAAGUAUCAUGCAUCAAAACUUCGUUCUCAGACAAUAUUUUUAGAAAUAUCAUUUUUAUACUAUAUCAAUAUUUUCGAUUUGCAACGAACGAAUUGAGAGAGACGAAGUUUAGGCGUUCAAUCUUUCCGAAGAUUGAACGUCGGAGAAUACAAAUCUGUCUAUUUCGAACAUUGAUCGAUACUUCAUUAAUUAUUAAUGAACGCCUCUUACACUUUCGAUUGGACGAGCACACCGCUGUCUGCUGUAGGCGUAGUUUCCUUUCGAUCAAUAAUUUAUGCCUGGCUACUUAAUUGAGUUCUGAUUUUGGACAGAGUUACGUGCAUAUUUUACAUUAAUUAUAAAUCGAAGGUUCGUUACCGUGCAUAGCGUAUUAAUAUUGUCACGAACGAAAUAAGAUGGAAUCGAAAAUAGAAUGCCUGCUUGGGAAUUCCCAGGAUCACCAGAUACUAAUAAGAAGAAAAAACUGGAUCGCUGUUUUUGCCAGUGAAUUUACCGCUGAAACACUGAGUCAGCGUAUUACAAUUUUAAUUAUCAAAAAGACACGAUGCCGAAAGAAAUCCAGCAGCUUAAUCAUUCCUGCGAUUCUAAUUUUCUGACAGGAAGCGUAGAAAAAGAGGUAUGAGAAAAUACACGUCAACUAUUACGAAGGAAAAAUACAUGAAGAUGUAAAAUGCAAUUUAUGUACAAAGAGAACAUUAUAUAUACGUUGUACAGAUCUUUGCUAUUGUAAAUGUUCCAUAUCGUAUAAAAGAGUGCAAUUUAGCUAUAAUAUGAGUCGAACGAUUAAACUGAAUUUUUAUUCGGCAGGUUGUAAUGACGAGCAUGAAUGCAAAUGAUAGCGGGUUCGCGUGAGUCAUAUCCGGAAUUAAUUCUUCUGCCAUCUCGAUGUCGACACGUGACAAAUUUACCGCUAAUCAAUCUUGCGCAGCUAUAUUUUUAAACCGCGUUAUUCACAAAACGAGCUCGGCUUAUGCAAUUCUAUUAGACAUACAGCAAUUGAACGAAAUUAAUCUUUCAAAUAAGAUUCGUAUCGCUGCAAUUAUAUUUCAGAAAGGAAGCAAGAAAAAUAGGUAUUUUCGUGUAGUAUAAUUCAUGUAAUAAUUCAUAAUAAUGUGUACCUCGGGCUUGAAUUUUCUUUCCCUGCAUACUCUUAUCGGAUAAUGAUAAAUUGAGUACCACGCUUGUUCUGAGAAAAGUUACAGCACCGUUGGAAAACGGCAGGAUGAUACAAAAGCUACACCUAAAAGUCAUCGCUAAAUGUAGAAAGAAACGAUAAUAGGAAUUAUCAAUAGAGCAUUGUAUUUUUGUGUGAAUCGUUUAAUAAGCAUAAGCAUAAGUCUCGUUCCGUUCACGUUAUGGUAUUACGAUGUUGCAGUAAUAGUAAUAGUAAUAAGAAGUAUAGCAAGUAUUUCUACGUUAAUGUUACAAUUGCUGACAUAACGUUAACGUGCUAAAAAUAUAGUAUCGAGAUCUUUUUGCCUUUGUAUCGAUAUUUUUAUCUUAUACGUGGAUAUGUCUGUAGACAGGAAAUCAAUAUGACAACAUCGUAUACAAAAGAAAAUGAAGCAAGUCGAAACAAAAAGAGUAAAUAAUGACACGUGGCAAGUAACGUGUAGGUAGUGUACUUGGUUCAACUUGAACAGAAAAAGCAACAAACAAGAACAUCGGGGAUAAAGUUAGCCGUUUAGAUACUUGAAAUUUUACUGUCGAAAAAAAGUAAAACCAAAAGACGAAAAGAAAUAUUAACCGGUUGAAUAUGGAAUAUCGUCAUUGAAAAAUAUAAGAUAAACAGAGAAUUACAGCAGCACAGAGAGGCAAACAAAGUAUAGAAAACGCGCAUUUCGCGAGGAUCUUGUGAGAAACGUUGAAACGAUCUGAUCGCAGAACGUAUGAUAUUAAUAGCAAUAAUCAACGAAUAGAAUAUGCGAUAUUAAAAAAUUAUGUUUUGCAUGCUAAUUUGAAGGAGCGAUACUGCGAUCUUGUAUGCAAUUAAGGGAUUAAUUAAAACGAAUUUAUGAACGUUAAUCAAUGAACGAUAAUUUUUUUCCCUGUUAAAUUAUAACGCGCUUAAUGAUAUGCAUUUGGACAUUUAAUA